UAUGACCCGGUGCCGGUGGCCUCGAUGGAGGGCCUGGAGCUGGGCUCGGCCGGCCCCGGCUCCAACUACGGCCCGCUCGACCCGGUGGGCGUGCCGGCGCCCGGCUCCGGGCCGCCCGACAUGGCCUUCGACAACAUGGUCGACCUGCCGCCGCAGCCGCCGCGCGACAACAACCAGGUGGCCGCCUGGUACGACACGGACCUGUAGCGGGCGGCGCCGCGGCCGCUCCGCCCACUCCGGGACGGCCGGCCGCUCCCAGCAACACCUGGCGUCCCGCACGCCAUCUGGCGGACGUCCGCACCGUCUGCCCCGUGACGACGCCGCGAGACGCCGGCAGUACCAGAUUCCACUCGAUUUCCGCGUUGAUUUGGUGGUUGGAGGCGUGUAACCCGGUCCGGAUGUGGGACGAAGUGUGUGGGCACGGGGAGAUUAUGCACUGUGCAGCUAUUUUUAAUGUGGCGUGGAGGGCGGGCAGCCCGGCCGUAGAUCAUGGAAGCUAUCACUAGCUGGCUAGAUGCGGCGUAAUCAUUGUAUUCCAAUACAUCUUUUCUAUCGCUUA